CGGGGUGUGGCGCAGCUUGGUAGCGCGCCUCGUUCGGGACGAGGAGGCCGUGGGUUCGAAUCCCGCCACCCCGAC
rnacentral:tRNA from 2 species